CCCUAUUGCGAGUUUAGAUGCAUUCCUUUGACAGAAGGGGCGGCCAGACCUAAUUUCACUCUCUGGAGAGGAUCUCUUGGAUGCUUAGGCUCCUUUUCAUCUUUUCUAGGGUUUGCUUUUCCAUUCUUCAUCCAUUUUUCAUCUAGAUUCACCAUGAAAAUGGUGAACUAAACCCUAUUGUUNUUGGGGGAAACAAUGUAAUC
rnacentral:lncRNA from 1 species